CGGAGGGAGUCGGAUGAUGCCUUUUGACCUCCGCGAGGAGUCACGUGGAGCGGGGACGAAGAAGCCAGACAAACUCCUUCCGGUUCACCGAUAGAAGCGUAAACUCCGUAGGGAUAGUUUUUUUUAUUUGAUUUUACGCUUGCAUCUUCCACGUUUUGGCGCGAGGAGGUCUUGAUUUCUGCGAUGAGCUCCCAGAAAGGGAACGUGGCUCGUUCCAGGCCUCAGAGACACCAGAAUACCUUUACCUUCAAAAAUGACAUGUUUGAUAAGAGUGUUCAGACCAAGAAAAUUAAUGCAAAACUUCAUGAUGGAGUAUGUCAUCGCUGUAAAGAAGUUCUUGAAUGGCGUGUAAAAUACAGCAAAUACAAACCAUUAUCAAAACCUAAAAAAUGUGUUAAAUGUUUACAAAAGACAGUGAAGGAUUCUUAUCACAUAAUGUGUAGACCUUGUGCCUGUGAACUUGAAGUUUGUGCUAAAUGUGGAAGGAAAGAAGACAUUGUUAUUCCAUUUAAUGAAGAACCAGAAAAGACAGAAAAUACUGAAGAUCUAAGUUCCAGCUGUAGAGGAAGCUGCAGACAAAAUGAAGAGGAAAGUGAUGGUGAUUUAGAUUUUGAUAUUGAUUUAGAUGAUACAGAAGAAAACAAUCAAGUGGAUUAAUAUAACUGUAUUAAAUGUCAGUCUAAGACCAUGAAAUUCUGGCCAACUUUUUUCCCCCUUUGAAGGAUGUUUUAAUUGCAAAUACAAUUUCUUAAAUGUAUCUAAGACUAUUUAAAUUUUCUAUUAUUUCUUGUGUCAGCUUGAUGAGUUGUUAUUUUUAAGGAAUUUCUUACUUUCGAAAAGCAUCUCUCUGGCUGCUGUGUUAGGAAAGGACAGUGGAAAGGCAAGGGUGAGAGUGAGGCGGUAACCUCAGUAAUGCAGACAAAAAGGAGACACUUGGCAUAGGGAAGCAUGGUGGGGGUAGUAAGAAUUGAUCAUAUGGUGGGUGUGCUUUGCAGGUAGGGCUCAGAGACUUUCCUGAUGAACUAGAUGCAGAGUAAGAGAGAAAAAGUGUGGUCAAAGUUGCCGUCAAGGUUUCUGACCUGUACCACUGAAAAGAUAAGAGCUGCCAUUAACUGGGUGGGGAAGACUGAAAGAAUCAGAGAACUUAAAGAUAAGACAAUUGAAAUAGUUCAGUCUGAUGAGCAGAAAGAAUAAAGAAAAGUGAGCAGAGGCUGAGGAACCUGUAGUUUAUCAUCAAGCAUAUCAAUAUAUGCAUUGUGGAAGUCCCCAAAGGAGAAGAAAGAGAAAAGGGGGAGAAAUAAUAUUCAAAGAAACAAUGGCUGGAAACUUCCUAAAUUUAACAAAAGUCAUGAAUAUGUGCAGCCAAAACACAUGACAAACUCCAAACAGUAAACCCAAAUAGAUCCACACCACAGUCUAUUGUAAUCCAACUCUAGAAUGCCAAAUAUGAAGAGAAUUCUUAAAGUUGCAAGAGAGAAACAACAUGCCACUUAAAAGGGAGCUGCAAUAAGAUUAAGUGCCGAUUUCUCGUUAGAAACAAUGAAAGCAAGAAGGCUGUGGGAUGACAUAUUUAAAGUGCUGAAAGCAAAAAAUUGCCAACCAAGAAUUCUAUAUCUGACAAAACUCUUUCAAAAAUAAGGGAGAGAUUAAGACAAUCACAGAUAAAAGCUGUGAGUUUGUCAUUAGGCCAUCCCAACAUGAGAUGCUGAAGAGAGUUCUGCAGGUUGAAAGGAAAGGACAACAGACAAUAGAUCAAAGCUGCAUGAAGUAAUAAAGAUCUCCAGUGAGAGGAUAUCAAGACUGCAUCACAUACUCUGAAGUAUGCAUCACGUACUUCUGUAGUACUUUACUACAGAAGUUCCAAAUCAUAAAAAUCAUCUGGUGAGUUUUAAAAAUUUUCUGAUUCCUGGGAUUCUCUGGGUCUGCGAUGUGGCCCAGGAAUUUGUCUUAACUCCUCGGGUGAUUCUGAUUAUCAGCUACAGUAAACACAAUUAAUUGCUUAUAGCAAAAAGCCAUUUCUCUGUGCCCCCCCAACCCCAUUUCUCUCUACUUCCUGGAACACAGUGCCCCUUUACCUGGUUCUUUCUUUCACAGCCUCUCCUCCAACCAGGAAUGACCAUAUAAGGGGAACCACUGGGAGAUUCUGGGAAAGAUUUACCUUGCUGAUAAAAAGAAAGCGUUUUUCCUAACAGACUUCCUGUCUGUAUAAGAUUGUGAGAAGAUAUGAAAUCUAGCCCUUGGCAGUCAUCAUGAGGAAACCAGAUGAGCUGCAGAGACAGUGAUCCUGAGCCCUGACAUUGUUAAGCUGCUAAACAUAAUGAACCUGGGCCCAUUCAGCUCUAGAACUCUUGUGAGGCAAUUAAAUGCUUAAUUGAAUAAGUUACUGUUAAUCAGAAUCCUUUUAAUUGUGGUCAGAUGCAUUGCCACCUGACACCUCAGCCAAGUUUCAUAGCCACUAUUCUACAGAACUUAAAAUGUGCUGUGGCAAAAAAGAGAAAAACUAAUAAGUCAAAAUAUGAUUAGUUAUAAUGAAGUCUUAGUUUGCUAGUUCACCUUCAUUCUGGAAAAGGAGAGUUAAGGAGCAUCUGUAUAGGAACACAUAGUAGCAAUAAUGAUAAUAGCACUUGUACAGCACUCAUAAGUUCUAUAUAUAUUACAUAUACAUUGAUACAUUUACAUUUACAUAUGUUAAUUCAUUUAAUCAUCCUAUGAACCUCAGGGAAAUCAAGACUCAGAAAAAUGAACUAAUGCCCAAAGUCAUACAGCUAGUAAAUGACAGAGUCAGAAUUCAGAUCCAGGCUCAAAAAGUUCAAAAAUAGGUAAAGCUAAUUUAUGGUUAUAGAUAUGGUUAACUUUGGGGUAGUAAUGACUGGGAAGGGACAUAAGGAAACCUUCUGGAUUGCUGGAAUUAUCUAUGUCUUCAUUCAAGUGUGAAGUGACACAGAUAUACAGAAAUGUAAAAUUCAACACAAGGUUUGUUCACUUGAUUGUAUGUAAAUUUUGCCUCAAUUAAAAAGCAAUUUAAAGUACUUAAUUUUUUUUUUUUUUUAAUUUUUAAAAGUAUCAUC